GGGCUUAUAGCUUAAUAGAUAAAGCGGCAGACCCUUAAUCUGCAGAAUGGGGGUUCAAGUCCCCUUAAGCCCG
rnacentral:tRNA from 1 species